UUCUAUUUUCCUUCUUUCUCUCUCCCACUCAUCUAACUCUUCCAUUUCUUCAAACUUCUCUUUUCCUCUUCUCUCUAUCAAAUCUACGUUUUUCCUCUUCUCUCUUCAUCUGACUUUUCCAUUUUUUUAAUUCUUCUCUCAUGGUUCUUCUAUGGUGGCUUCAAACAUAACACACUAAACCAAAUCUACUACAAAGCUUUUAUUUUGAAACCCUAACCGAUGUCACAAAUGGAAGUGAUGCACGCGCCUGUUUACUUUGAGAAAUUCGAUGUGCAUGGUGAUAUGAAAGUUGUUUCCCUUGAAUCGAUCCAUAAGAAUAAGUUAUACGAAGAAGAUGGAGAUCUUUUUGUGGGUUAUGGCUUCAUUUCAUGCAAGGAAGUAGAAAAAGCAAAUAUGAUUUUUUUUUGAUGUGGUUGUGUGCACGGGUUGUGGAGGAAAUCUUCUUCUUUUCGAUGAGAUUGAGACAAUAGCUAAGAGUUGUGAGAUAUCUUCUACACCAUUUGCAAAAGGGUUCAAGGUGAUCUGCUUGCUAUAUCGACUAUGGGCGUGAUUGUGAACUUCAGUUGCUUGGAGCAAAGGGGUAUCAAUCAGAAUCGGGGAGACGGCGACGGCUAAGGGGUAUCAAUCAUGAAUGUAAUGUAAUUAUGUUUUUAUUAAUCAUAUAGUGAAAACUAAUUUAAUAUUCUCCGUAGAUUACAGUUUUCAAUGUAUAUGAUAUAGUUUUCAUUCUCAUGGAUUCCAAGGCAAACAUGGAGUAUAAAAAUUCACAAGGUAAUUAACACUUUACCUUCCUAAAAUUCAGCUAAUUACACUUUCGACCCGAUUUCUGCAUUGAUUUGCAAAUAAUAUUCGACAACAAAUGUUCUUGAAUGAAUGCAAAUCCUAACUCACUGUUGCUUAUUUAGGAGAAACGCCUUUAGAUUGUGCUCCUGUUACACUUGAAUAAAAAAUGUAACAGAAAAUUGAAGAAAGCAUAUCAAUGGGCCAAAUGAAUUGAAUACCGACAUUUAAGUUAUGAUAUGGCUCUUUGCCUGAAAGCAUAAUGAAACUCUCUGCUACACUAUAUUAUGGGGGUUGGAAUUCAAGUAACUGUUAAACCUCUUGGGGAGGAAGUAUUCAUUGAUGAUGAUAAAGUGUGAGUAGGUCUCAUUAGUAACUAUGAAAUCUGUUAUUUUAUUCAUACUAAUUAGAUUAUUCAAUUAACAAUAUGUAUUCCCAUGUCUCUAAGAAAGGCAUUUCACGGCGAGGUUACAUUUCUUCAGAAAGCAAGGCAUCCAAAUGUCAUCCAAUUUUUGGGUUGGCAUGACAUAAAACACUCCAAUUUUUGUCUGUUUUUCUGUUUAUUUCUAUUUAGAUAUGUGGGAAAAACUUAUAUGAAUGAACAAUCUUCUAGAAGUCAGUUUGUAUUCACUCUUCGAAUAUAUGUUGUGAAUGAGUUGUUUGGAUUCAUCUAACGUACACCAAAUUGCGACUUGGUAGAAGUAUGUCUAUCAAUACAUAUAUCAAUAAUUAGGACCAUAUAUGUCAUUCCUUUUAUUGCCUAUAUAAAUGUCUUAUUAGUGUUGUAAUUGGUUGAGUUUGUUUUGAUUGAGAAAUCUUAUAGAGGUCUUAUUAUUGUCUAUAUAGAGGUCUUUUGUGGAUUUGUAUUUUAUGUUGUUCACGCACUCUAGAAAAGUUUAUGAGUUGUAAUUUUCCAAUGUACUGGAUUGAGCA